AUGGAGAAGAACAGAGACGGUCAGAGGGAGCGGCAUUGUGUCUUUGGAGGUCUGGAGAAGCUGUGGUGCAUGAGGAGGUCUGGAGAAGCUGAGGUGCACGAGGAGGUCUGGAGAAGCUGUGGUGCACGAGGAGGUCUGGAGAAGCUGUGGUGCACGAGGAGGCCUGGAGAAGCUGUGGUGCACGAGGAGGUCUGGAGAAGCUGUGGUGCACGAGAAGCAGUGGUGCACGAGGAGGCCUGGAGAAGCACUGGUCGAUGAGGAGGUCCUGAGAAGCUGUGGUGCGUGAGGAGGUCUGGAGAAGCUGCGGUGCAUGAGGAGGUCUGGAGAAGCUGUGGUGCACGAGGAGGUCUGGAGAAGCUGAGGUGCGUGAGGAGGUCUGGAGAAGCUGUGGUGCAUGAGGAGGUCUGGAGAAGCUGUGGUGCGUGAGGAGGUCUGGAGAAGCUGAGGUGCAUGAGGAGGUCUGGAGAAGCUGAGGUGCAUGAGGAGCUCUGGAGAAGCUGUGGUGCAUGAGGAGGUCUGGAGAAGCUGUGGUGCAUGAGGAGGUCUGGAGAAGCUGUGGUGCACGAGGAGGUCUGGAGUGGCAGAGAAGAGUGUCAGAGAGGUGCAGGACAUAUAUGAGGGCUGUGAGACAGCAGGGAGGUGCUGCAAGAGUGGCGGAGGUGUAGCUGAGUCUGCAUCACGGUUGGAAUGGGUGGAGAAAGUGUCAGGUGUGAUAGAAGGAUUCCAGCAAGAAUGAAAGGAAGGGUCUGGUUUAGAGAUGGUGUCCACCAGGAGAAGACAGGAUGUUGAGGGUAACGUUAGGAGUGAUGAGGAUGGACAGGAUCAGGAAUGAGUCCAUCAGACGGACAGCUCAUGUUAGAUGUUCAAGACAUGAAAUCAGACCGAAGCCCAAUCCCAACACUACACGUGCGCCUUUCAAUUGUGCAAUCCUGACCAGUGUGGAAGUUGACCACGCCCCUUUUGCCCCUUUGAUCCACACUUGACCCAAGUCCGCAUCGCUGCAGCAUUGUAUUACCCACAAUCCAUUGCUGUAGGAGAAAAAUGCCUUUUCUAAAAAUAUGUAUCUUGACGUGACGAUGUGAGCAUCCUGUCACUGUGACCCGAUUGAUCACGCGCCCCGGCCCCUUGGCCAAGGGGACGUCCCUUUGGCUGACUGGUUAGCGGGCGUGACUCUCACCAGAGAGUCUGGACAUCGAAUCCCGCCCGGGCCCUCGUUUCUCCCCCUCGUCACAUUCAAAUGAAAGUAGAAAGUAGGGAGUACCCUCCUGUUUGUCCGCUGACUGCUGGAGAUGGUCCUGGUUCUGGUCUAUAGGGCCUUACAUGGACAAGCACCAUCUUACAUUGGUGAUCUUCUUAGUCCCUACACCCCCAGCAGGUCCCUGAGGUCCAGUGACCAAAGCCUAGUGGUUGUGCAGCACCAGGCUAAAGGUCUCUGCUGCUGUGGCCCCCAGACUCUGGACCUCUCUCCCCCUGAGCCUGAGAUCAGUGGACUCAGUGGUCUCCUUUAAAAAGCAGCUGAAGACUCACUUGUUCAAGCUGGCUUUUGUAUGACCUUCUUCACCUCUCUCUCUUUAUUCUGCUCUCCCCACCUAUUCCACCUUCCUCAGGAUCCACUGAUUUCCCUCUUUCCUGUUCACUCUCUCUCUUUCUUUACAUCUUUAAUCACAGUUGUCAAAUUUUUUUUGCAGAGCAAAGCUGCCCUCCUGGUGUGAGGGUAGCUGUGAAGUGCCUUUUUUCCCUCCACCUGAACCAAUCCUCGUGAAAACCUUCUGAUCUCUAUUAAGGUAGCGCGAGUCGGGUUGCGAAUGACCACAGUCACCAAUUCUUGUUAUGUGUCUAUGCCCAUGUGUGUCUGAUCUCUGAAUUGUGUGUACUGAAACUCUAAUUUCCCUCUGGGAUUAAUAAAAUAAAGUAUCUUUGAUUGAUUUUUUGCUCAUUUUAAAUAUAUUUUUAACCAUUUUCUAAAUUCUUUUUUAUAUUUUUACAUUUUUGUGAAGCGCCUCGUGAUUUUUAUCUUGAGAGGCGCUGUAGAGAUGAUACUUUCUUCUUCUUCUAACUAAUAUUUAGGUGUUGACUAAUCCGACAGAACUCUUUUCACCCGUUUCCAUUCCCACCUGGAUUCUGUCCUGAAGCGUUUUAAAUCAAUUUCCAUGACUUCCAGACCUUUUCAGAUGGGAACGCCAUCAGUCCUCUUCUAUUCCUGUUUGUCGCUCUGAUGCUUUUCUGCCUUCUAAAGUUUUUGGACAGGACGUCUUCAGAAGGAGACGAACUGGUAGGAGCUCCAUGAGCAGCUCCUUCUUCAUGUUAAAACGUUCUUUUGUUGUUAUAUUCUUGUUGUUGUUGUUGCUGCCAGGCAACAGUGAAAGAACGGAGCCAGACAGAAACCCAGCAGCUGGAGGAUCAGACCGAACCACAUCAUGGAAAGGGUGGAGGCAACAUCUGCCACAUCUGUGCGUAACAAGUUCAGAACAAACAGAAACGGGCCCUGGGGACCGAAGGAUGUGUUUCAGGAACGCCUCAAAGCCACGACACGACUAGUUACAUCUCCUCUGAUCAGGGGGAGGACCUGAGGUCCGGGGCCGGGGUCAGGUAAGUCACAAGUGGCUCUGACACCCGAAGCUGAUGGGUUCCGAUCUGAUCCUGAGCGGUGGUCUGAACUCAAGGCCGGCGCUGUUUUCCUUCUCAUAUCAAAACACGCCCGGCCGUACCCACAGCGCUCACAUUUCACCGUGCAGCGCAGCACAUUCCUCGCCGAGUCGGGCUGAAACCAAACCCUCAGAGGUCACCGUUUGCAACACAACACCAGCCCGAUGUGGAGUGUCUGCAGCGGGACACGGUCCAUGUGUGUCCUGACCUCAGACCUGAUCACACACUCGGCAGCAGGAGAGACAGGGUUGUUUCAGUUAAACGAACAUCCUGACUUGACCUUUGACCUCACUGAGGUCAUGAGUUGAUCAUAAAGGAAACAAGUGUGUGUGUUGAAACAGGAAAUAACAGCAGCUUCCUGGUUCAAAGGUCAACGUUUUAAUGAAACAUCCAUCCAGCCCAUCAUCCCUCUAAGCUGUGACAUCAUCAGUUCGUGGCCCGAGGCAGCGUUCUGAAACGUGGAGGUGCUCCAGCACACCUGGCCUGAACAGGUGACCCAGCCACUGGGUGGUGAACCUGCAGGAGCAGGGCUGGUCAGAAGGACGUGUAACCAGAGAUGCAGGUGUUCUCAGGGCAGAAGGAGAAGGAAUCCUACUGGGAAAGGCGGUUCUGGAUCUGGUUGGGUCAGCUGGAAGGAGACCAGCUGGGACAGGUUUCAUGCUGCACGGGGAACGUUUCAGGAUGUUUGAUAAGAGGAAGAAAAUCCACCAUUUUGCUAUGAAGAACAACAACUUUCAAAGAAAAAAGAAGAAGCUGUUAGAGUCGAGUCUUCUGCAGCCUGGAGCUCAGACCGGACCGCACCAGCACGAGUUCUGGAUCCAUACAUCAUGUGAAGAGUAUGUGAGCGGGCCCGGCCCAUGUGAUGCUGUUGCUGAC
rnacentral:lncRNA from 1 species